rnacentral:tRNA from 1 species
GCCUCAGUGGCUCAGUGGUUGAGCGUCUGCCUUCAGCUCAGGAUGUGAUCCUGGGGUCCUGGGAUCAAGUCCCACAUCAGGCU